ensembl:lncRNA
UGAGGGGCAGUGGAGCCCGAGCCAGCCUGUGGCUUCAUCAUCCACACCUUCAGUGUCCCCGGGGGCUCUCCUGACAUCUUGACGUCAGCACAGUCCCUCUUCUGCAUAAGCCACGUGGAGGAGGCUACAGCUGCCUUCAGACAUCGAAGAGGGGAACCCCCAGAAGCCCAAGGGUGCGGUCUGUGGUCAGGGCAGCGAAUGGCCCCCGGGAGGCUGCACUCUGGGCUCUGGUCCUGGCGGCAUGAUCAACUUUCUGGGCGACCUCGGACAAGUCACUCUCCCUCUCUGAACUUUAGUGUCCUCAUCUAUAAAGCGAGUGCACUGGUCUAAGACCCCAGCCAGGUCUUAGCUGCAGCCCUCGGAACCUUUAGUUGUGGCGUUCAAACUCCUGAUUGCGGCAUGUGGGAUCUAGUUCCCUGACCGGGAACCAAACCCCAGGCCUCCUGCAUUGGGAGGACAGAGUCUUAGCCUCCAGGCCCCCAUGGAAGUCCCUCAAUUAUUAAAAAAUAAGAAAUCAUCUGA